UACGAAGGGGGCUAGCGUUGUUCGGAAUUACUGGGCGUAAAGCGCACGUAGGCGGAUUUUUAAGUCAGGGGUGAAAUCCCGAGGCUCAACCUCGGAACUGCCUUUGAUACUGGAGAUCUUGAGUUCGGAAGAGGUUGGUGGAACAGCUGGUGUAGAGGUGAAAUUCGUAGAUAUUAGCUAGAACACCAGUGGCGAAGGCGGCCAACUGGUCCGAUACUGACGCUGAGGUGCGAAAGCGUGGGGAGCAAACAGG
rnacentral:rRNA from 1 species